CCGAUAUGAUCGCGUCAUCAAGGAGACGCGAGCCAACGAUUAAUACAGCAACGGAGUUUAGGAGUUCCCCACUAGGGUUGUGAGAGAGAGAGAGAGAGAGAGUGAAAAGUCUCUCCAAGCCUCCAAAGGCAGAGAGAAAAAAAAAAAAGAGCACCCAAGUGUGUGUCAAAAUAUUUUGUUUGCUGAGUUUCUGAGGCUGAGAUCUCUCUCUCUCUCCUGGGCUCGCAAAACUCGAAGAGAAAGCAGUGGAAAAAUAAAGAGCUUGGUUGAAUGAGUAUGGAGUGGUGGGAUAAGGUGAAGAUUCCCAUUCGACGUGUUUGGAUCGGCGUUGCCACGCGUCUUGGGAUUCGCAAAAGCGCAGGACUACUGAAGCUGAGACAUGAUGUGAGCACUUGUGAAUAUGAGGAUGUGCGUGUGAUGUGGGAGAUGCUGAAAAGAAGUGAAACGGAGCAAGUCGUCCCUGAAAAGAGCAAGAAGAGAUCCUUUUGGAAUAUCUUUGAUUGGGCUAGGUGCACUCCAUGUCUCUGCCGUGGUCUUUGAUCAUUCAUAUAUGAAAUCUUCUCAGCUCACAAA